AAGUCGUAACAAGGUCUCCGUUGGUGAACCAGCGGAGGGAUCAUUACAGGGUCUAACGACUGCCCAAAACCAACCGUGCUCCUUUCCAUUUUCUCUUGCUUCGGUGAUCGCCUGCUGGGGAGGCCACCGGCCGGGCGUCAUGCCUGGUGGUUGCCGAAGCAUACCACUAUAAACUUUUUACUUUGCAAUGUAUCUUCUGAGAACUUUCUACAAAAGAACAAUCACAACUCACAACAAUGGAUCUCUUGGCUCUG
rnacentral:misc_RNA from 1 species